GACGAACGCUGGCGGCGUGCUUAACACAUGCAAGUCGAACGGAGAGGCCCUGCUUUUGUGGGGUGCUCGAGUUGCGAACGGGUGAGUAACACGUGAGUAACCUGCCCUUGACUUUGGGAUAACUUCAUGAAACUGGGGCUAAUACCGGAUAGGAGCUCCUGCUGCAUGGUGGGGGUUGGAAAGUUUCGGCGGUUGGGGAUGGACUCGCGGCUUAUCAGCUUGUUGGUGGGGUAGUGGCUUACCAAGGCUUUGACGGGUAGCCGGCCUGAGAGGGUGACCGGCCAAAUUGGGACUGAGAUACGGCCCAGACUCCUACGGGAGGCAGCAGUGGGGAAUAUUGAAAAAUGGGAGGAAGCCUGAUGCAGCAACGCCGCGUGCGGGAUGACGGCCUUCGGGUUGUAAACCGCUUUCGCCUGUGACGAAGCGUGAGUGACGGUAAUGGGUAAAGAAGCACCGGCUAACUACGUG
rnacentral:rRNA from 1 species